ensembl:lncRNA
CACACAUUUGGCUAACGAGAAACAGGGAAAACCAGGAGUGAACUGGAUCAGGAAUGUUUGCGUUACCAUGUGAUGUCAUCGAACGACAAACGUAAUGAUCGGCGAUGUCAAAGAAGUUGGCUGAAAAGCAAAGGAAACCGGUCACACCCGGAUCAUAAAUCCAACAGUGAUGUCAGUGGGGCCAGGGAGUCACCGGCACAGCCCAGUCCCACUGCAGCAGCUGCUGAGGGGGCUGCUGUGGCUCAGAGACCCUCCCUACAUGAGGACUCAACUCUCCCUAUGGAGAGCAACGUCCAUCCGCUAGGGGGAGGGGCCAACCCUUCCUAUAGAGCGCAACAUCCAUUCGCUAGGGGGAGGAGCCAACCGUUCCUAUGGAGAGCAACAUCCACCUGCUAGGGGGAGGAGUCAACUCCCUAUGGAGCACAACAUCCUCCCUCUAGGGGGAGGAGUCAACUCUACAAAGGGGGUGGAGUCAACCCUCCCUAUGGAGGACAACAUCCACCCUCUAGGUGGACUCUUCCUAGGGGGGAGGAGUCAACCAGAGUCCAGCUCCAAGCCAAACAGCAGGUCGCAGGUGCCUUGGUCCCGGCGGUGGCGUCCCUGUAAUUAGGGCCCUUCAGAGGGCUGCCCGUUCGCCGCCCGCCACGCUAAUCAGACCGGAGGAGUGAGGAGAGAGAGAGACAAACACAGCAGGUCUAUUGUGGAUCCCGCUUCCUCCACCCCAUCCUAUCCCCCC